rnacentral:rRNA from 1 species
AUGGUCAUCUCCUUCUCCACCUUCGUCGUGGGGAUGAUCCUGACAGCUCUCUCGGCGUACCUGCUGCUGCUCGUCAAGAACGGCAUAUCGAAUGUGGUGGCGGUUCAGGAGUCCAUCAUGUUUCUCGGCCUUUACAUUAUCGCGGUCGGAGUACGCGGUCUCCGGCCAUGCCUGAUGUCCUUUGGUGCCGACCAGUUCGACGACGGCGACCCGUUGGAGCGCAGGGCGAAAGCCGCCUUCUUCAACUGGUACGUGUUCACCAUGUACUGCGGGUCGACGAUAGCAAGCACCGGCAUCGUGUGGGUGCAAGACCACUACGGCUGGGCACUGGGCCCGACGAUCCUGGCCGUGGGACUCUCCUGCCUGGUUGCGACAUCGCGCAAGUACAGGUUUCAGCCAACCCAUGGCAGCCCACUCACCGGAGUGUGCCAGGUCGUCGUCGCCGCUGUCAACAAUUUCAACGUCGAGUUGCCGUCCGAUAGCUCUCUCCUCUAUGAGCUGCCAGAUGACAAUCCUGUGAUGAGGGGAUUUGAGAGGAUAGAGCACACCACCGAUCUUCGAUUCUUUGACAAGGCAGCCAUUGUCGGGCCGUCGAACAAGGAGAUGGAGGAGACAGACGCGCCGGCGUUGCGCAGUCCGUGGAGACUCUGCGCCGUGACGCAGGUGGAGGAGCUCAAAAUCCUCGUGAGGAUGCUGCCGCUCUUGGUCACCAUCGUGUUCUUCUACGCCGUGGCGGCACAGGUCCCGUCAACUUUCGUGGAGCAGGGCAUGGCGAUGGACACCGCCGUCGGCUCGGUGCGCAUCCCGCCCGCGUCCAUGUCCACCUUCAACGUGCUCACCAUCGUCGUCCUGAUCCCGCUCUAUGACCGGGUGUUCGUGCCGGCGGCCAGGCGGCUCACCGGGAGGGAGAACGGCAUCUUGGGGCUGCAGAGGAUCGGCGCCGGCCUCGCCAUGCCCGUGCUCAGCAUGGCCGCCGCGGCGUUUCUCGAGACGGCACGCCUCCGCGCGGCAAAGGCAUCGCCGCUGGCGCCAAAGGCGACGAGCGUGCUGUGGCAGGCACCGCAGUACGCGCUGGAGGGCGUGGGCCAGGUGCUCACAACCGUCGGGCAGUUCAGCUUCUUCUACGGCCAGGCGCCGCCCGCGAUGAAGACAGUAUGCACGGCGCUCGGGCUCCUCUCGAUAGCAGCCGGGGAGUACCUGAGCUAG